UGCUGACAUGUUAUUUAAUCUUUAUUAAAUAUACCCUGAAAAAAAACCUUCAAAUGAAGUCAUCUAUAAGAAAAGAACUUCAAGUUCUGAAAUUUACCAGGAAGCAAUCCAGUCUACUAACCACUACAAUUGUAUACAUGUGGAGUAUUCUUGUAUAUGUGAUAUCAGAAAAAUGCAAAAUGAUUAAAGAAUGUAUGCACUCAGAAGUCUGUGCCAAGAAGGAGAGCCAAGUACAGUUGGACUGACAUGAAGGAACUUCUAUUCUUAGGGAAGCUUUGCAGCCACCAAGGUCCCAGAAGUAUAAAGUUGAAAAGAGUGCCACAGAUAUGGUUGCAAAGGUUACAUAACACAUUUCUUCCAA
rnacentral:lncRNA from 1 species